AUACCUUUCUCGGCCUUUUGGCUAAGAUCAAGUGUAGUAUCUGUUCUUAUCAGUUUAAUAUCUGAUACGUGGGCCAUCGGUCCACAUGAUAUUAAAUUUAUUUUUCUAGGGGGAAGACCCACCGCAGUAGCUUGCUACUGGGGUCCUCUUGCGUCUGCCAUGCGUUGCACUACUGCACGGAACUGGCGCACCCCAC
rnacentral:snRNA from 1 species